CCUACGGGAGGCAGCAGUGAGGAAUAUUGGUCAAUGGACGAGAGUCUGAACCAGCCAAGUAGCGUGAAGGAUGACUGCCCUAUGGGUUGUAAACUUCUUUUAUAUGGGAAUAAAAUGUUCCACGUGUGGGAUUUUGUAUGUACCAUAUGAAUAAGGAUCGGCUAACUCCGUGCCAGCAGCCGCGGUAAUACGGAGGAUCCGAGCGUUAUACGGAUGUAUUGGGUUUAAAGGGAGCGUAGGUGGAUUGUUAAGUCAGUUGUGAAAGUUUGCGGCUCAACCGUAAAAUUGCAGUUGAAACUGGCAGUCUUGAGUACAGUAGAGGUAGGCGGAAUUCGUGGUGUAGCGGUGAAAUGCUUAGAUAUCACGAAGAACUCCGAUUGCGAAGGCAGCUCACUGGACUGCAACUGACACUGAGGCUCGAAAGUGUGGGUAUCAAACAGGAUUAGAUACCCUAGUAGUC
rnacentral:rRNA from 1 species